AGAGUUUGAUCCUGGCUCAGGACGAACGCUGGCGGCGCGCCUAACACAUGCAAGUCGAACGAGCGAGAGAGAGCUUGCUUUCUCGAGCGAGUGGCGAACGGGUGAGUAACGCGUGAGGAACCUGCCUCAAAGAGGGGGACAACAGUUGGAAACGACUGCUAAUACCGCAUAAGCCCACGGCUCGGCAUCGAGCAGAGGGAAAAGGAGCAAUCCGCUUUGAGAUGGCCUCGCGUCCGAUUAGCUAGUUGGUGAGGUAAUGGCCCACCAAGGCGACGAUCGGUAGCCGGACUGAGAGGUUGAACGGCCACAUUGGGACUGAGACACGGCCCAGACUCCUACGGGAGGCAGCAGUGGGGAAUAUUGCACAAUGGGGGAAACCCUGAUGCAGCGACGCCGCGUGGAGGAAGAAGGUCUUCGGAUUGUAAACUCCUGUUGUUGAGGAAGAUAAUGACGGUACUCAACAAGGAAGUGACGGCUAACUACGUGCCAGCAGCCGCGGUAAAACGUAGGUCACAAGCGUUGUCCGGAAUUACUGGGUGUAAAGGGAGCGCAGGCGGGAAGACAAGUUGGAAGUGAAAUCCAUGGGCUCAACCCAUGAACUGCUUUCAAAACUGUUUUUCUUGAGUAGUGCAGAGGUAGGCGGAAUUCCCGGUGUAGCGGUGGAAUGCGUAGAUAUCGGGAGGAACACCAGUGGCGAAGGCGGCCUACUGGGCACCAACUGACGCUGAGGCUCGAAAGUGUGGGUAGCAAACAGGAUUAGAUACCCUGGUAGUCCACACCGUAAACGAUGAUUACUAGGUGUUGGAGGAUUGACCCCUUCAGUGCCGCAGUUAACACAAUAAGUAAUCCACCUGGGGAGUACGACCGCAAGGUUGAAACUCAAAGGAAUUGACGGGGGCCCGCACAAGCAGUGGAGUAUGUGGUUUAAUUCGACGCAACGCGAAGAACCUUACCAAGUCUUGACAUCCCUUGACGAUGCUGGAAACAGUAUUUCUCUUCGGAGCAAGGAGACAGGUGGUGCAUGGUUGUCGUCAGCUCGUGUCGUGAGAUGUUGGGUUAAGUC
rnacentral:rRNA from 1 species